GCUAUUGGAGUCCGAUUAAGACAUGCGAGUCGAGAGCUUUCGGAGCUCGGCAUACUGCUCAGUAACACGUGGGUAACCUGCCCUAUGCUGGGGGAUAACCUCGGGAAACUGAGAACAAUACCCCAUAGUCCACUACGCCUGGAACGGUGAGUGGAUGAAAGCCCCGGCGGCAUAGGAUGGGCCUGCGGCGUAUCAGGUUGUAGGGGGUGUAAUGUACCCUCUAGCCCUCGACGCGUACGGGUUGUGAGAGCAAUAGCCCGGAGAUGGAUUCUGAGACAAGAAUCCAGGUCCUACGGGACGCAGCAGUCGCGAAACCUUGACAAUGCGGGAAACCGUGAUCAGGGGACUCCAAGUGCCAGGAGUAAGAUCCUGUGCUUUUCAUCUCUCUUCAAAGGAUUUGGAAUAAGAGGUGGGUAAGGACGGUGCCAGCCGCCGCGGUAAUACCGGCGCCUCAAGUGGUAGUCGAUUUUAUUGGGCCUAAAACGUCCGUCGCCGGUCUGGUGCAUUCGUGGGUAAAUCAACCCGCUCAACGGGUUGAAUUCUGCGAGCACGGCCAGACUAGGGACCGGGAGAGGUGUAGGGUACGCUCGGGGUAGGGGUAAAAUCCUGUCAUCCCGAGCGGACCACCUGUUGCGAAGGCGCUACACUAGAACGGAUCCGACGGUCAGGGACGAAGCCUAGGGGCACGAACCGGAUUAGAUACCCGGGUAGUCCUAGGUGUAAACGCUGUGGACUUGGUGUUGGAAGCUCCCAGAGGGCUUUCAGUGCCGUAGCGAAGGUGAUAAGUCCACUGCCUGGGGAGUACGGUCGCAAGGCUGAAACUUAAAGGAAUUGGCGGGGGAACACCGC
rnacentral:rRNA from 1 species